AAGCGUUAAUCGGAAUUACUGGGCGUAAAGCGCACGCAGGCGGUCUGUUAAGUCAGAUGUGAAAUCCCCGGGCUUAACCUGGGAACUGCAUUUGAAACUGGCAGGCUUGAGUCUCGUAGAGGGGGGUAGAAUUCCAGGUGUAGCGGUGAAAUGCGUAGAGAUCUGGAGGAAUACCGGUGGCGAAGGCGGCCCCCUGGACGAAGACUGACGCUCAGGUGCGAAAGCGUGGGGAGCAAACAGGAUUAGAUACCCUGGUAGUCCACGCCGUAAACGAUGUCGACUUGGAGGUUGUUCCCUUGAGGAGUGGCUUCCGGAGCUAACGCGUUAAGUCGACCGCCUGGGGAGUACGGCCGCAAGGUUAAAACUCAAAU
rnacentral:rRNA from 1 species